rnacentral:pre_miRNA from 1 species
GGAUGAGGUAGUAGGUUGUGUGGUUUCAGGGUAGUGAUUUUGCCCCAGUCAGGAGAUAACUAUACAACCUACUGCCUUCCCUGAUAAGCAGCAUAACAAC